AGUGGGAUAGCUGGGCCAAAUGGUAGUUCCAUUCCCAGAUUUCCAAGGAAUCUCUAUACUACUUUUCAUAUUGGCUGCACCAAUUUGCAGUCCCAACAGCAAU
rnacentral:pre_miRNA from 1 species